UGGGGAAUUUUGCACAAUGGGGGAAACCCUGAUGCAGCGACGCCGCGUGAUUUAGAAGGCCUUCGGGUUGUAAAAAUCUUUUCUAUGGGAAGAAAAUGACAGUACCAUAGGAAUAAGGACCGGCUAAUUACGUGCCAGCAGCCGCGGUAAUACGUAAGGUCCGAGUGUUGUCCGGAAUCAUUGGGCGUAAAGGGUACGUAGGCGGGUAAGCAAGUUAGAAGUGAAAUCCUAUAGCUCAACUAUAGUAAGCUUUUAAAACUGCUCAUCUUGAGGUAUGGAAGGGAAAGUGGAAUUCCUAGUGUAGCGGUGAAAUGCGCAGAUAUUAGGAGGAAUGCCGGUGGCGAAGGCGACUUUCUGGCCAUAACCUGACGCUGAGGUACGAAAGCGUGGGUAGCAAACAGG
rnacentral:rRNA from 1 species